GAGGGGAAUAAGCGAGGGCAGGAGGACCGGGAGGUACAUUUCACUGGGGCCACUGAUGUUAUAAUUCACCACAACCUCACUUUCUAGUCUUUCUUGGGAAGUCACCCAAACACUUCACGGAACAGGAUAGCAGCCAGGCCAGGCGUUUGUGUUCACUUGCUCUCUUUCCUCUGGCACCCUGUGCUGCUCGCCCUGCCACCGCCUGGGCUUGGCGGCCUGGGGUGUGACUUGGUGAGGUUACACAGACCACGCAGGCUCCGCUGCUCUGUGCCAGUGGCGGUUUCUGCCCCUGAGUGACCACAGCCUGUAGGAGGAGACGCAGAGGCCUGGCGGGACUCUGAGGAUGUAAAUGACAUCCAGAAACCCAGUGCAAAAGAGCUUCAACAAAAAUGGGGUUGAUUUGGCACAAAACUGAGAAGGCCUCUGGAACAGUUCGGCAGAGUCCCUUCCCUCUAGUGCAUUCACCCUUCGGGGACGAGGGAAAGAGAUGGAGUAAACAUCCAACGGGCCUGCCUUCCUGCCUCAGAGGAUCAAAACUCCUGAUUCCUGCCGGCCCC
rnacentral:lncRNA from 1 species